rnacentral:tRNA from 1 species
GGGGUCAUAGCUCAGUUGGUAGAGCGCCACGUUUGCAACGUGGAUGUCGUCGGUUCGAGUCCGAUUGGCUCCACCA